UACGUAGGGUGCGAGCGUUAAUCGGAAUUACUGGGCGUAAAGCGUGCGCAGGCGGUUCUCCAAGUCCGUUGUGAAAGCCCCGGGCUCAACCUGGGAAUGGCAGUGGAAACUAGGGGACUGGAAUCUGGCAGAGGGGGGUGGAAUGCCGCGUGUAGCAGUGAAAUGCGUAGAGAUGCGGCGGAACACCGAUGGCGAAGGCGGCCCCCUGGGCUGAGAUUGACGCUCAGGCACGAAAGCGUGGGGAGCAAACAGG
rnacentral:rRNA from 1 species